rnacentral:rRNA from 1 species
UGCAGUCGAGCGGGGAAGGUAGCUUGCGUAACUGACCUAGCGGCGGACGGGUGAGUAAUGCUUAGGAAUCUGCCUAUUAGUGGGGGACAACAUUCCGAAAGGAAUGCUAAUACCGCAUACGCCCUACGGGGGAAAGCAGGGGAUCUUCGGACCUUGCGCUAAUAGAUGAGCCUAAGUCGGAUUAGCUAGUUGGUGGGGUAAAGGCCUACCAAGGCGACGAUCUGUAGCGGGUCUGAGAGGAUGAUCCGCCACACUGGGACUGAGACACGGCCCAGACUCCUACGGGAGGCAGCAGUGGGGAAUAUUGGACAAUGGGCGGAAGCCUGAUCCAGCCAUGCCGCGUGUGUGAAGAAGGCCUUUUGGUUGUAAAGCACUUUAAGCGAGGAGGAGGCUCCUUUAGUUAAUACCUAAAGAGAGUGGACGUUACUCGCAGAAUAAGCACCGGCUAACUCUGUGCCAGCAGCCGCGGUAAUACAGAGGGUGCGAGCGUUAAUCGGAUUUACUGGGCGUAAAGCGUGCGUAGGCGGCUUUUUAAGUCGGAUGUGAAAUCCCUGAGCUUAACUUAGGAAUUGCAUUCGAUACUGGAAAGCUAGAGUAUGGGAGAGGAUGGUAGAAUUCCAGGUGUAGCGGUGAAAUGCGUAGAGAUCUGGAGGAAUACCGAUGGCGAAGGCAGCCAUCUGGCCUAAUACUGACGCUGAGGUACGAAAGCAUGGGGAGCAAACAGGAUUAGAUACCCUGGUAGUCCAUGCCGUAAACGAUGUCUACUAGCCGUUGGGGCCUUUGAGGCUUUAGUGGCGCAGCUAACGCGAUAAGUAGACCGCCUGGGGAGUACGGUCGCAAGACUAAAACUCAAAUGAAUUGACGGGGGCCCGCACAAGCGGUG